AACGAACGCUGGCGGCAUGCCUAACACAUGCAAGUCGAACGAGACCUUCGGGUCUGGUGGCGCACGGGUGCGUAACGCGUGGGAAUCUGCCCUUGGGUUCGGAAUAACAGUUGGAAACGACUGCUAAUACCGGAUGAUGACGUAAGUCCAAAGAUUUAUCGCCCAAGGAUGAGCCCGCGUAGGAUUAGCUAGUUGGUGAGGUAAAGGCUCACCAAGGCGACGAUCCUUAGCUGGUCUGAGAGGAUGAUCAGCCACACUGGGACUGAGACACGGCCCAGACUCCUACGGGAGGCAGCAGUGGGGAAUAUUGGACAAUGGGCGAAAGCCUGAUCCAGCAAUGCCGCGUGAGUGAUGAAGGCCUUAGGGUUGUAAAGCUCUUUUACCCGGGAUGAUAAUGACAGUACCGGGAGAAUAAGCUCCGGCGAACUCCGU
rnacentral:rRNA from 1 species